GGCACUUGUAUUUGCAAACUACUGGCUGAGUUCCCACUAGAGGCAGGGAGAUCAGACUGAAAGAGUGUGUCUGUGCGCGCGUGCAUGCGUGUGUGUGUCUGGGAGACACAGAGAGAGGAACCCGUUCAACCCAUUUCUGCAGCAACUUUUCAGCCUGUCGACAUGAGGUUUCUCCUGGAAGCUUUUCGCUCUAUCAUCUUUGAUUUUCUUUUCCACGCUGCCGGAGUGUUUGAUUUUGAGCCGAGCUGAUGGCUGGAGAUGAGAGGAGUGCGGCUUGGCAGAGACAGACAAGAGUUUUGCUGGUAGAUAGCAGAAGAACAGAAGAAAACAGA